UACGUAGGGGGCAAGCGUUGUCCGGAAUCAUUGGGCGUAAAGAGCGUGUAGGCGGCCCGGUAAGUCCGCUGUGAAAGUCCAGGGCUCAACCCUGGGAUGCCGGUGGAUACUGUCGGGCUCGAGUCCGGAAGAGGAGUGUGGAAUUCCUGGUGUAGCGGUGAAAUGCGCAGAUAUCAGGAAGAACACCAACGGCGAAGGCAGCUCGCUAGGACGGUACUGACGCUGAGACGCGAAAGCGUGGGGAGCGAACAGG
rnacentral:rRNA from 1 species